CAGGAUCCACCUCCUAAAAGUAAGGUUCUGCUGCCUCCCAGGACCCAAACGCUCACCAGCUGUAUCCAGAAGGAACUGAAUAACCUUUUCCACUGUGCCACCCUCCUCAUGACAUCGUGAUGGACUGCCAUUGCCGGUGGGAUCACCCUGCAGGCUCUUCUGGGAAGUUUCUCCAGAUUGCUGAUUUGCAGAAUUUUACUUGCUGCAGUGUCCCGCUAGCACAAGGCACAGCCUGGGGACGUGCGGAUCAGCCAGUACUAGCCUGGGGGCCGGUAAGCUCUUGACAGACCAUGGUCACACGGCUGAAACAUGAGUCUUUUUGCUUUCAUCCUCAGAGCGAUGCUUUUCUUCAUUACUAUCUCAGAAAUGUUCAAGUUUCACAAAGCAUCCUGGCAUAAAACGUGAUGUUGGUGAAGGGGAGCUAACUCAGGGAUAGCUUGGAUGAUGCCUCUCAAAGUGAGCUGUCCCCAUGGCAGCAUGGUCUGAAGAGCACUAUUCACGCCCUCUGAUGCUAAGACGGAGAAACUGCCCCAGCUCAGAAGACUAGAGAGAAAGAAAAAACUAUCCCAAAGGGACUUGGGACUUACACACAAAACAAUCAGUACGGUUGACACACAAAGCUACAUGUAUGGACUGAAAUUAAGUGUCCCUGGAAAAGAUGGAAAUUGUGAGAUGAGGAGGACUGAGGGGUCUUCUGAGGAGCCUGAAUCUCAGGGCCAUCCCAAAGGAAAUGCUUGUGACAAACACUGAGACUCGUUUUGAGGCUGUUAGGAAAAGGCUCUGGUGGUUUGGUGAAAACAUAUAAACAUCUAAAAACUUCUUCACCAGAUCAACACGGGCUGACAAUAAACCUGAUGUUUAAAAUGAGAACACAAGCUGGGCAGUGGUGACGCCUGCCUGUGAUCCCAGCACUCUGGAGGCAGAGGCAAGCGGAUCUCUGUGAGUUAGAGGCCAGCCUGGUCUACAGAGUGAGUCCAGGACAGCCAACGAUGCACACAGAAAAACCCUGUCUCGAAAAACCAGAAAAAAAAAAAAAAAAAGAAAGAAAGAAAGAAAGAAAGAAAGAAAGAAAGAAAGAGAAAGAAAGAAAACUGGAAUUCUCUGAAUAACUAACCCAGUGAGAUGCAGCAACUAGCAUUAAAGUUCAUACAUUUUCAUUAAUUUAAGAUCACCUAAAACUUUAUUAUCUACAGUGAAGUGACGAUGUUUCACUCAGCCACGCAAAGACUCUCAGACAGCAAAUUUAAACAGAUGUUGGGCACAUUGCUUACUUCUCACACGGCUGUGACUAAGUGCCUGACAAGGGCAAUGUCAGAGGGUUUGUGGGCUGGAGAGAUGGCUCAGAGCUUAAGAGCACUGUCUGUUCUUCCAGAGGUCCAGAGUUCAAUUCCCAGCAACCACAUGGUGGCUCACAACCAUCUGAGAUCUGGUGCCCUCUUCUGGCCUGCAGGUGUACAACAUGCAGGCAGAACAUUGUAUACAUAAUAAAUAAAUGAAUCUAAAAAAGAAGUGACAUUAAGGAGAGGGUUUGUUUGUUCUGCGGUGGUGAGUCUGUCAUGGUAGGAAAGCCCACCUGGCAUCUGCAGGAAGCAGAGAGGAGUGAUGCCAACGCUCUUUCUCCUUUUCCCUUUUCACGCGGCACCCUGCAUUCACGGAGGUCUGUCCUCGAAUCUCUGAAAACAUCAUAGACAGACCCAGAGGUGUGUCUCCCAGGUGGGAUCAAACUGGAUCAAGCCGACAAUGAAGAUGUCCUGUCCUGUGGCACAAACACGUUCCUCUCAGAGUAAUAGAAGAAAGCAAGAUGGGGAUAAAAGGACAGGCUUACAGGUGACAUGUGAAAGACUGGGAAAGAGUGGCAAGAAAAACCUCGCACACGGGAGUGUACACCUGGAAUCCCUGCACCCAGAAGCUGAGGCAGGAGGAUCCCUGCAAGUUCAGGGCCAGCUUGGGCUACGUUUUGAGGCCCUGUUUCAAGAUAAGAAAGAGGACUAGGAAGAGGAAGAAGCCUGCAAUGGCUUCCUGACAGGCGUGCCUUUUUGUAGUCCUGCCCCACGGUGCAUCGGAACCAGCAUGCCAUGGUGUGGCUUCCAAGGAAACCACCAGCUGCCCAGCCCUGCCUGCUCCUGUGGAGAGCCAGCUGCAGCGCUACAGUGCACAGACAGGAAUCCACUGUUUUCCUGAAAGAGUCUGAAGUCACUCUUCCAGAGCAAGAGGAAUGCUCAUGCUCUUUAUAUUGCUUUCCCCUCCUUUUGAUAGGUAAUCUGGCCAAUGGAAGAAUGAUUUUUCGGAACAGAGAAUUCUAGGGUAAAGAACUGUAGAAACAUAAACAUAAAAAUAGGAUUUCAUUUCAAACAGGAAGCACACCAGGCCACAUUUACCCUUUCCUGUCACUUGGAUUAGCUGCCUUGCUUCUUAAGAAAGCUUAUGGCACACCAGUUCACCACCGUUAACCUCUGCAGUAAAGCGUCACUUUAUCCACACUGAACGCUUGCGCAGACAUGCAUCCGCUUUUAAAAUCCUGGCUAAAAGCCUGUGAAGUGAUUACAACCUUGACAACGAUCCAGCCUUCACAAAUGGUGCACAUAAUUUCUUUCCAGAGGAACAGAAUGAUCUAACCAAAAAAAAAAAAAAUAAAUAAAAAAAUCUAUAAGCUAUCAGGACCCAGGUUUAAUUCCAUCAGUGAGCUAGUACUUUACAGUGUGUGUGUCUGUGUGUGUGUCUGUGUGUGUGUGUGUGCAUGAAGGGAAGGUGGCGUGAGACAAAGUCCCCAUUUUGCUCCUGGAGCUUCUGGAAAUCACUAAAGCCCACGGCUCUGCACUGAGAUUCUCACUUCUCCAGCACAACAAUAACGUGGUAAGAACAUAGCAAAUUAUCACUGCCAUGUUAAAUAGAGGCCAAAUCCACUCAGGACCCAUGGGAUGAGGAGAAAAACAGACCAAAACAAUGCUCUCCACAGAGCAUUGUUUUAGGUAAUUUUGCUGCUGCUCUAAAGAAACACUUGAUCUAGAAGCUUGAGGAAGGAGGCACCUCUUUUGUCUGUGAUUUGUCGGAGACCACUCAGCACUGUGAGGAAAGCAAGGCCCUGGGAACAGGAGGCAGCUGUCCUCUCCUGCCACAAGGAUUGCCAGCAUUAUCCCAUCCAGCACGCUAACCACCAGGACAAUGCCGCCCACACUGGAGUGCUCAGACUUUUCUGGAAAGCCCUCAGGCUCAGAGGUGUGCCUCUGAGGUGACACUGGACCCUGUCAGGUGGGGGACUACUGAGCAUCUCGGCUGUCAAGGGCCAGUCUCCCAAAUGUAGGGCUGAUGACACAGUCAAGUCCAGGUCCAAGUUCAAAUACCUAAGCCUGCCGGUUUCCUCAGUCUGCAAGGCUAAGCCCAUUCCCCAGCCUCUCCCUGCUCUGCCCUUCCUACAGCAAGUGUGGCCAGCCACCAGCCUUCUGGGAGAUGUGACAGAAGGUACUUGUCUGCUUGCUGCAGACACUCCUUAGCAUUCUUCUCAACAGUGAUUGAGAGGUGAAGAAUUAACCCAAAACUCUUAGGAAGCUGAAACAUAAUGUCACACAUUCACUAGACAUGAAGUUUAUCUGAGGCUUUAUCUCCAGUACCAGACACUCAGAACUCCAAGAUUACUGUGCAACAAGAGCAAAACCUAUUUCUCCAUUUCAGUCCAUUUAAAACUUAAAGGGAGCUGCCUCGGAAGGCCUGUGCCCCAGUGUUCUCAUCUUUGGAGUGGUACAUCUUCUUACUGAUAAAGCUGAUGCUUCUGCCUCAUCAGCAAGCAAUACCAUUCCACCAUGAUGAAAGGCAAAUGACAGCAAAUUUCACUUAUACACCAGGAUAACCCUUCAAUCGUGCAAUUUCCUUAUCUGAAAAUUAUCCCGCUUCUCCCCAGACAAGCCUUCGUUCUAACAGACAUGAUGCCGCAGACACUUGUCUUGAUGGACAGCACACACCACCCAAUGCCACGCUGGGCUUGCCCCGUCACUCAAGACACAGACACUGAGCCUCUGAGCCUCCUCAGGAGAGAGCCAGAAAACCACACGUGUCUUGCAUCUGCUCAUUUUCUUGGCAGGAAGAACAGGCUGUCACGGAACCACCUGCUCCAGCCCAGAGUUCGCCAGCUGCCUAGAUGCGAUGGGCAGAAGAUAGAUCUCAUACUAUGCAAUCAGCUGAGCAUCAUAGAUCAGCCAGGCAGACAAGAAUGGUGGAGAGCGUGCAGGUGGGUAUGUGUCAAUAAAUGCUCCUUGUUCUGAUCUUCACAGAAGAGCUACCAAGGAAAUGCACGCCCUCGUGUGCUUGCCGCAUUCAAAGGAAGCCAGACGCAUCUUUAGCAACAUAAAGAAGUUGCUAUUUCACUCUUAAAAUUAUCAACAUAAGGGUGUCUGGACUGUGGCAACCAGGAGAUCUGUGUGUAAGGCAGGUGGAAGAGCAGGAGCAUAGGGCACAUCCCAGCACUCACUUCAUUUCUAAUUACCCGUGUUUAGGAGCAAAUGUCCCGGACCUCCCUUCAGUCCUCCCUUCAGUCCUCCCUUCAGCCAAAAGCAGCCAGCCUAAGGCGUCCAGAAAGGCAGCCAGCUGAAGGUGUCCAGAAACGAGCAUAAGAGAGUUGACAUUCAUCUUCAUGUUUGUCAGAAGAAAAUUAGUGUUCAAACCUUAAAUCAAUGACGAGGUCCGAGAGCACAGUUUCUCAUCCCGUGGGCCGGGAGAUCAAUCCUACCAACCACAAAGGCUCUGACGCCAUUUCUUAAAUAUCAAACUUCUUUCAAGAUACAAACAGACAUAAAGAAACUCACUUGAGACUAUCAAUACAAGAUUGUACAAACAUGCAGGGCUCAAAUACGAUUUUUAAAAAUCUAAGAACUCUUGCUCUGAAAAAUAAUAAUAUCAAUAUGAAAAGACUUGAAUAUCUUGUGUCUUUGCAUUUAAAUAUCACAUUCUUUCUGACACAACUUUUUUUACAUGGGAAUCUCAGUCAAAGGCAACCACAAGUGUUGCCAAAGACAAGAGUUCUCUUGACACUGUCUGCGGGCUCCUGUCCACCCCCCUGUGGCUCAGACUGUCACACUCGCUCGCCUGGAAAUCACACACCCUCAUCCUGCACUGUACCUUCCGGUGGAGCUUCCCCACCUCCCUCAAGGCAACCUGGUCUACAGAGUGAGUCUAGGACAGCUAGAGCUGCAUAAUAAACCCUGUCUCCAGAAAGAAAAGCAAACAACGAAACAUGUUAGGGUCAGCUCCGGUGAGCGUUCCCCUUGGGCAAGAUCAGGGAAAUGCCUAC